rnacentral:rRNA from 1 species
UCACCCUUGUCUUUUGCGUACUUCUUGUUUCCUUGGUGGGUUCGCCCACCACUAGGACAAACAUAAACCUUUUGUAAUUGCAAUCAGCGUCAGUAACAAAUUAAUAAUUACAACUUUCAACAACGGAUCUCUUGGUUCUGGCAUCGAUGAAGAACGCAGCGAAAUGCGAUAAGUAGUGUGAAUUGCAGAAUUCAGUGAAUCAUCGAAUCUUUGAACGCACAUUGCGCCCUUUGGUAUUCCAAAGGGCAUGCCUGUUCGAGCGUCAUUUGUACCCUCAAGCUUUGCUUGGUGUUGGGCGUCUUGUCUCUAGCUUUGCUGGAGACUCGCCUUAAAGUAAUUGGCAGCCGGCCUACUGGUUUCGGAGCGCAGCACAAGUCGCACUCUCUAUCAGCAAAGGUCUAGCAUCCAUUAAGCCUUUUUUUCAACUUUUGACCUCGGAUCAGGUAGGGAUACCCGCUGAACUUAAGCAUAUCA